UUUGGAGGCGGGAGCGGGAGUAUCUAUCUACAGAGCCUAACUUUUCAUCCCAUUCUUGGAGAAAGUGAAAAUCAAAAUUAGAUAUAAUCCAAAACUGAGUUGAAGCAUAAACGUAAAUCGCCUCCCAUCCUUCACUCAUCUCCUCCUUAUCCGAAACUGAGUUGCACUAUAAACCUGACUCGCUGCCAAUCAUUCAUUCAUUCAUUUCCUUCUAAUCCAAAACUGAGUUGAUUUUGUUACAAAAAACCACAGUCUCGGCAUCUCAACCGUUAGAAUGUCAUUUUCACUGUUAAGUAACCGUGCUGCUUCUGCUAUCACUCUUUCUCCUUCCAACAAUUUCAAUCGUCGCCGAUUUUACUCUCAUGCUCAUUCCAAUUCCCAAUUUCAUCAAAAUCACAAUCUUGUUGAUGCUGAUUCUUCAUUCAAUAGAAUUCUCGAUGUCAACCCUAUCCCAUCAUCCGUCUUCGAACUCGGUAAGAUGUUAACUUCCCUUGUUAGAAACAAGCAGUUUCACACUGCUAUUUCACUCUCUCAUCAAAUGGAGCUCAAUGGAAUUCAACCUAACUUUGUUACUUUGAACAUCUUGCUCAAUUGUUUCUGCCACCUUAGUCAACUCAAUUUUGCAUUUUCUGUAUUAGCAAAAAUUCUCAAGCUAGGUUAUCAGCCUAAUACGGUAACAAUGACUACACUUAUGAAAGGCAUGUGUCUUAGUGGUCAGGUUAAUAAAGCUUUGGAUUUUCAUGACGACGUUAUAUCAAAGGGAUUUCAGCUUAAUCAAGUUAGUUAUGGAAUCUUGAUUGAUGGCUUAUGUAAAAAAGGAGAAACAACAGCUGCCCUCCGGUUGCUUAGAAAGAUUGAAGCGUUAAUAGUUAAACCGGACGUGGUAAUGUACAACAUAGUCAUUCAUAGACUUUCCAAGGAUGAACUUGUGAGUGAUGCCCUUCAUUUAUAUUCUGAAAUGAUUGUCAAGAAUAUUUAUCCUGAUGUUGUCACUUACACUAAUUUAAUAUACGGCCUUUGCAUUGUGCGUCAAUUCAAAGAAGCUAUUGGUUUGUUAAAUAAAAUGUUGUUGAAAAACAUCAGCCCAAAUGUUCUUACUUUUAAUAUACUGAUUGGUGGUUUAUCUAAGGAAGGAGAGUUGAGAAAAGCUAAAAAUGUCUUAGCUGUUAUGAUAAAACAAGGUGUGAAACCAGAUGUUGUUACUUAUACUUCUUUAAUAGAUGGGUAUUUUUUGGUUAAAGAAGUGAACGAGGCCACAUAUGUAUUCAACACUAUUGCUCAAACGGAAGUGAAACCUAAUAUUUGUACCUACAAUGUCAUGAUUAAUGGAUUAUGCAAGAAUAAAAUGUUGGAUGAAGCCAUGAAUCUCUUCAAAGAAAUGUAUUUAAAAAACAUCUCUCCUGAUACUAUAACAUACAGUUCGCUUAUUGAUGGGCUUUGCAAAUCGGGGAGAAUCUCUAAUGUUUGGUAUUUUCUUGAUGAGAUGCAUGAUAGAGGCCAUCCUGCUAAUGCGAUCACUUACACUUCUAUAUUGGAUGCAUUGUGCAAAAACCAUCAGUUUGACAAGGCAAUUGAAUUAUUGGCGAAGAUCAAAGACCAAGGAAUUCAGCUAAAUAUGUAUACAUACACUAUACUUGUCGAUGCACUAUGCAAAAAUGGAAGACUUAUGGAUGCACUAGAGGUUUAUCAAGAUCUUUUGAUUAAAGGCUACCAUUUAGAUGUGACAAUGUAUACUGUUAUGAUUGAUGGGCUUUGUAAAGAGGGCUUUCUUGAUGAAGCAUUGUUCUUAAUGUCAAAAAUGGAAGAUAACGGUUGCACCCCUAAUGGCAUAACUUACACAACUCUUAUUCAUGCUCUGUCAAAAAAUGGCAAGAAUGAGAAGGCGGUGAAACUUCAUCGUGAAAUGAUUGUUAGAGGUCUUUCAUAUGAAUAAAACUAGAAUAUGGAAGGGUAAUUACAAUGUAUUAAUAAAGUAGUAGAGCAGGCACACAUGAAGCAAUUUGUAGAUAAAGCAGACCCUCUACUGUCGAGCAACUAUGGUAGAGCUGUUGGAUCUGGGUGCAAGGAAGUGUAGUUGGAUCUACCAUCUCUACAAAUCCUACAGAGGAUCAGAAUAAACAAUGGUUUGUGUUUAAUAGGCUGCACCUUUAGCUAGUUGCGAGUUAACUGCGGAUGCUAUAGUGGAAAUGUGUAGAGACCCUUAGACGCUGUGCAAAACCUCUUUAUGACUUAUGAUUAGCGGAUGAUACAGUGAAAGAAGCACUUCAUAGUUGAACAUGUCUCCUUACCUCCCUAGAUUUGAACUCGGGAAAGAUGAUUGGCAGCGCUGAGGAGAGUGGAGGACUCUACUACUUUGACAUUGGAUCUACAUCACAACUACCUUCUGAAACAAUAAGUUCCUGCUUUGAGUCUUUUUCUGUUUUGAAUAAUCAUGAUGACAAUAUUAUGUUAUGGCAUUUACGAUUAGGUCAUCCUAGUUUUCCCUAUUUAAAACACUUGUUUCCAAAGUUAUUUCGUAAUAAGGAUAUUUCUUUGUUUAAAUGUGAAGCAUGUGAAUUUGCGAAACAUCAUCGUUCCCAUUUUGCAAUACAGCCUUACAAACCAUCAAAACUUUUUUCUAUUAUUCACAGUGAUGUUUGGGGCCCUAACCGUACAAGUACACUAUCUCUUAAGAAAUGGUUUAUCACCUUUAUCGAUGACCAUUCAAGGGUAUGUUGGGUGUACUUUUUAAAGGGGAAAUCUAAUGUUUGUCAGGCUGUAAAAGAUUUUUGUACAAUGGUGCAAAACCAAUAUCAAACUAAUAUUCAAAUCUUUGGAAGUGAUAAUGGCAAAUAAUAUUUUAACACUAAUUUGAGUGAUUUAUUUCUUGAAAAUGGAAUUAUACAUCAAAGUUCAUGUCCUAAUACUCCCCAACAAAAUGGAGUUGCAGAAAGAAAAAAAUAGACAUUUAUUGGAGGUAGCUAGAGCUUUACUUUUCUCAAGUAAAGUACCAAACUAUUUGUGGGGUGAAGCGGUUUUAACCGCUGCCUAUUUAAUUAACAGAAUGCCUUCAAAAGUUCUCAAUUUUCAAUCUCCAAUUGAUACUUUUAAAGAAUGUUUUCCUAAUACUUGUGUUUCAAAUGAUUUGACAUUAAAAAAAUUUGGUUGCACAACCUUUGUACAUGAACAUAAGAAUGUUGGAAAACUUGAACCACGUGCUACAAAAUGUGUUUUUGUUGGAUACUCCCCAACCCAGAAGGGAUAUAAAUGUUUUGAUCCAAAAAACAAGAAAAUGUAUGUCAUUAUGGACGUUACACUUUUUUGAAAACAAAAAAUUAACAUGUUGUCUGACGUAGGCACGGAAAACGUGUCUGGUCAAUGGCGUAUUCCUCUUUUCCACCAUCACCUGCACAUGGCGGGUCUGCCAUUCCGCCUUUCCUGCAUGCAUGGCGUUAGCCUUGAUUCCGCCAUCAGCCUGUACCUGCACGCGACAGAUUUUGUCCCUAAAGAGCGGUAUUACCGAAAUUAUUUUGAAAACAGGGUUAUUACGAAAAUAAAAAAAAAAAAAAA